AUGGUACCGCUGCUUGGAGAGAAGAGGCAACAACAACCAUAUCGUAGGACUCUAGUGUGGGCAGCUAGCGUCGGUGCAAAACAUCGAAUUCACAAUGAUGAUGCAAGUAAAAUGUGGAAGACAGUAUUAUAGAAUUGUUGGGCCAAUUUCUCCAAACCAGGAGACUACUGUAGACAAGAAUAGCUGGAAAAUGACCAGAAGCAAGAAACACAUCAUAACAUGAACGACAGAGACCAAUCCACAAAUGGCAUUGACUAAACCUUGCCCAGGACCCGGAACUCCAGCACCAUCCUCCCACAGCACUGAGGGAGAAAGAGACCAUUCGAUGGCAGGGAGAGAGAGAGACUGUCACAUCCAGAUACCUUCCUUCAGCAUCAGAGAGAAGCUGGUAGAUGGCAGCGCGUACCUGCUUGGCAAGAAAUGGAGUCGAUCAUGGGUUCAUGACCCAUCAACAGGCUUCUGUCGGAAACAAAAGAUGAACGUGGUACCUUCAGGCCUUUGGAAAUUGCUCCCAAGGAUGAACCGGACUUGACAUCAUUUUCUGACCUCAAUCCGAUGGAAAUUUUGUAGGCAGAACUGAAAACACAUGUGCGAGCAAGGAGGCCUACAAACCUGACUCAGUUACACCAGUUCUGUCUGGAGGAAUGGAACAAAAUUCCAGCAACUUACUUUGAGCAGCUUGUGGAAGGUGGCCCAAAACAUUUGACCCAAGUUAAACAAUAUAAAGGCAAUGCUACCAAAUACUAAUAAAGUGUAUGUAAACUUCUGACCCACUGGGAAAAUGAUGAAAGAAAUAAAA